ACGUUAGCGGCGGACGGGUGAGUAACACGUGGGUAACCUACCUAUAAGACUGGGAUAACUUCGGGAAACCGGAGCUAAUACCGGAUAAUAUUUCGAACCGCAUGGUUCGAUAGUGAAAGGUGGUUUUGCUAUCACUUAUAGAUGGACCCGCGCCGUAUUAGCUAGUUGGUAAGGUAACGGCUUACCAAGGCGACGAUACGUAGCCGACCUGAGAGGGUGAUCGGCCACACUGGAACUGAGACACGGUCCAGACUCCUACGGGAGGCAGCAGCU
rnacentral:rRNA from 1 species